UUGAUUUCAUAAAUUACAUAGAGUUGUAUAUAUACGUGACUUUAAACUAUUUUAAUUAUAAAUAUUACUAAUCUAAAUUUUAUGAUAUAUAUAUCUAAAAUUAUUUAAUCCAUAUCAAAAUAAAAUUUAUAAAAUAUUCUUCCGUAUUAAUAUUAUUCAGUUGCUACGUUGUGAUUUCAUAAAUUACAUAGAAUUUGUAUAUAUACGAGACUACUUAAAACCAAUUUCAAUUAUAAAUAUAACUUAUCUAAAAUAUAUAUUUAAAUUAUUUAAUCCAUAUCACAAUAAAAUUUAUAU